rnacentral:rRNA from 1 species
UACGAAGGGGGCUAGCGUUGUUCGGAAUCACUGGGCGUAAAGCGCACGUAGGCGGAUCUUUAAGUCAGGGGUGAAAUCCCGAGGCUCAACCUCGGAACUGCCUUUGAUACUGGGGAUCUCGAGUCCGGGAGAGGUGAGUGGAACUGCGAGUGUAGAGGUGAAAUUCGUAGAUAUUCGCAAGAACACCAGUGGCGAAGGCGGACUCACUGGCCCGGAACUGACGCUGAGGUGCGAAAGCGAUGGGGAGCAAACUAGGG